rnacentral:rRNA from 1 species
AGCGAACGCUGGCGGCAGGCCUAACACAUGCAAGUCGAACGAACCUUUCGGGGUUAGUGGCGGACGGGUGAGUAACACGUGGGAACGUGCCUUUAGGUUCGGAAUAACUCAGGGAAACUUGUGCUAAUACCGAAUGUGCCCUUCGGGGGAAAGAUUUAUCGUCUUUAGAGCGGCCCGCGUCUGAUUAGCUAGUUGGUUGAGGUAAUGGCUCACCAAGGCGACAAUCAGUAGCUGGUCUGAGAGGAUGAUCAGCCACAUUGGGACUGAGACACGGCCCAAACUCCUACGGGAGGCAGCAGUGGGGAAUCUUGCGCAAUGGGCGAAAGCCUGACGCAGCCAUGCCGCGUGAAUGAUGAAGGUCUUAGGAUUGUAAAAUUCUUUCACCGGGGACGAUAAUGACGGUACCCGGAGAAGAAGCCCCGGCUAACUUCGUG